rnacentral:rRNA from 1 species
UACGUAGGGUGCGAGCGUUGUCCGGAAUUAUUGGGCGUAAAGAGCUUGUAGGCGGUCUGUCGCGUCUGCUGUGAAAAUCCGGGGCUCAACCCCGGACUUGCAGUGGGGUACGGGCAGACUAGAGUGUGGUAGGGGGAGACUGGAAUUCCUGGUGUAGCGGUGAAAUGCGCAGAUAUCAGGAGGAACACCGAUGGCGAAGGCAGGUCUC